CCAGAGCUUGAGGUGGCACGACGCACAUUUGUGCAGGGAGAUUCAUGCCACAUGCCGUCCUUCAGCCUGCUGUGGGUAUUCCUGGCCUGCAGCUACUCUGGAUCCACUGUGGCCCAGAAAGUUACUCAAGCAGAGACAUCCAGAUCCUCGACAGUGGGGCGGGCGGUCACCCUGAACUGCCAGUAUGAAAUAGGCUGGAGUGCAUACAUUAUUUUUUGGUACAAGCAACUACCCAGCAAAGAGAUGAUUUUCCUUCUUCGCUGGAGUUCUGGUGAUGGGAAUACAAAGAAUGGUCGCUAUUCUGUCAGCUUCCAGACACAAGCUAACUCCAUUGACUUGACAAUUUCAGCCUUAAGACCAGAAGAUUCAGCAAAGUAUUUCUGUGCUCUCUGGGAUGCACAGUGUUUGAAGUGAUAGUAAAGGCAAAACAAAAACCCCAGAGCUCAAAAAGAUGAAGAACCCCCAACCCGUGCUG